GAUGAACGCUGGCGGCGUGCCUAAUACAUGCAAGUCGAGCGAAUGGAUUAAGAGCUUGCUCUUAUGAAGUUAGCGGCGGACGGGUGAGUAACACGUGGGUAACCUGCCCAUAAGACUGGGAUAACUCCGGGAAACCGGGGCUAAUACCGGAUAACAUUUUGAACCGCAUGGUUCGAAAUUGAAAGGCGGAUUCGGCUGUCACUUAUGGAUGGACCUGGGUCUCAUUAGCUAGUUGGUGAGGUAACGGCUCACCAAGGCAACGAUGCGUAGCCCACCUGAGUGGGUGAUCGGCCACACUGGGACUGAGACACGGCCCAGACUCCUACGGGAGGCAGCAGUAGGGAAUCUUCCGCAAUGGACGAAAGUCUGACGGAGCAACGCCGCGUGAGUGAUGAAGGCUUUCGGGUCGUAAAACUCUGUUGUUAGGGAAGAACAAGUGCUAGUUGAAUAAGCUGACACCUUGACGGUACCUAACCAGAAAGCCACGGCUAACUACGUGCCAGCCGCCGCAGUAA
rnacentral:rRNA from 1 species